rnacentral:misc_RNA from 1 species
GUAGGUGAACCUGCGGAAGGAUCAUUAUUGAAUGAACUUGGCGUGGUUGUUGCUGGUCCUCUCGGGGGCAUGUGCACACCCGUCAUCUUUAUCUUUCCACCUGUGCACGUUUUGUAGGUCCAAAAUUUUUUUCCGAGGCAACUCGUUUGGGGGACUGGCGUUCGUUACUGUCGUCUUUCCCUGGAUUUUAGGCCUAUGUUUUCACAUACACCAUAAGAAUGUAAUAGAAUGUUAUCAAUGGGCUUUAUGCCUAUAAACUAUAUACAACUUUCAGCAACGGAUCUCUUGGCUCUC